GACGAACGCUGGCGGCGUGCUUAACACAUGCAAGUCGAACGGAAAGGCCCUGCUUUUGUGGGGUGCUCGAGUGGCGAACGGGUGAGUAACACGUGAGUAACCUGCCCUUGACUUUGGGAUAACUUCAGGAAACUGGGGCUAAUACCGGAUAGGAGCUCCUGCUGCAGGGUGGGGGUUGGAAAUUUUCGGCGGUUGGGGAUGGACUCGCGGCUUAUCAGCUUGUUGGUGGGGUAGUGGCUUACCAAGGCUUUGACGGGUAGCCGGCCUGAGAGGGUGACCGGCCACAUUGGGACUGAGAUACGGCCCAGACUCCUACGGGAGGCAGCAGUGGGGAAUAUUGCACAAUGGGAGGAAGCCUGAUGCAGCAACGCCGCGUGCGGGAUGACGGCCUUCGGGUUGUAAACCGCUUUCGCCUGUGACGAAGCGUGAGUGACGGUAAUGGGUAAAGAAGCACCGGCUAACUACGUG
rnacentral:rRNA from 1 species